CACACACGUGGAUCAUGGUGGCCAGUUUGAAUCCAUUUGAACAGUAGUGAAUGGGGAAUUGGAUUCUUUGCAUGCUCAGUCAAAUUUUCCCCAAGUAAAGGAGGUGGCAAGCCAGCAUGGUUGUAUUUGAAGGACGUCCCUAAAUUUCUCGAUGUGUUUUUAUCCUAACUGCAAGUUGCAACUAAACAAUUACAUUUUUUCCUGCAAAAUAUGCCCACCGGGUGACGAGGAUGAUGCGGCCGCCGCAGCGACGGGGCAGAGCUGUUUCUACCGCACGCUGAAAUGAAGGUCUUCUGCUGCUUAAAAGUGACGUGUUACCAUUACCAAGCCAUCGUCCAAAAAACUCCAUAGUCCAUUGCGUUAUUCCACAAAAUCUAUAAUGCAAUCCUUCGGUGUCAGCUAUAGAUCUAACUUUAGAAGGAAGAAAUGAUUUCUACAACUACAGUUUUAUGAAUAACCGCCGUAUGAGAAAAGACAAAACGGAGCUGAGUUGCAAAAAAGGAAUUUCCCAGACCAGGGGGCAGGAUCAGGACACACAUUCCCAAGCCAGGUUCUGAUGAUACCGCUCCUCCAGCGGACAAUAAAUUCCCUUUUCCAGAUGUGGAACUUGUGACGGAAACAGAAAGUGAGGAAUGUGCUGCUCAAGAAAAUGAAGAGAACAUACAGAAUGGCUCCGUUGUAUCAGAAGGAUGGUCUACUAUUUGUAUCUGCAAGUGAUAAGAGAUUGCUCUUUGUUCCGGUUAAAGACAUUUUGAUGCCAGAUGAUGCCCCACCUCUUCACACACCUGGAUGCAGAUAGCUUUGACUACAGCAGAGUCUAUGCGGGCAGUCCGUCAGUGACCAACCGAUGCCGCCAGACACUGGCCCAAUUUUUUCCCUACUGGUGGACCACUAAAAUAAAGAAAUACAUAGAAAAUUCAGUGUCACAAAAUAUACAACAAAAAAAUUCACAUGAUACUAUAUCUUAAACCUUGAAUCAACCAAUAGAUAAUACUCCUGAGCAGGAUUUCUCAAUUUUCUUGCUUGAAUUUAUCAGCCUCAACAUAUAAGGAUAAACGUCUCUGUGCAUGGGUGCUGCCAUUUAAUUUUGCUUACGACUUAUAGCUCCUACUCCGCAGCAAUUCGAGGAGUCUAAAGAAAAAAAAAAACAUAGCCGCGCCCAUGCAUCAACCAGGUUUCUGUCUUACAAAGAGUUACGAUUGAUCCGAUCAGUCGUAUCUUAUGGAAAUCCAUCAGUGUCAUAAUUUUUUUACAUGAAAAAUUUGCACAAUGUCCUUUGUAUGCAAAGAGAAGCGCAGUGAAUUUUCAAGAAAACAAUGAAUGCAUGAAUAUACAUCAUAGCUAGAAAAUAUUUUGAACAAAAAUGCAUAAUAGAUGUUGAUGUUGCUGGCCGUCCAUAGUUGCGAUUGAUCGGAUCAAUCAUAACUCUUUGUAAGACGGGGCCCAGGACUAUAACAUCAUUGGCCGAUAAAUUCAAGCAAGGAACUUGAGAAAUCCUACUCGGUAGUAUUAUUUCCAUAGCUCUACUUGGUUGAUUCCAGAUUUGAAAUAUAUUAUAAUGGGAAAAUUUUGAUAUAUGAGGAAAUUUAGAUCUGAAAGUGGUUGAAAGUCUUUUGGUGACACUGAAUUUUUUGUAUUUCAUUAUUUUGUUCAACAUCCUGGGCCAUCACCCGUCAAAAAAAAAAUGUAAUGACUCGGCCCAAGUACGCCUUGAUUUGGGAACUUUGCUGAUCUUCACCUGCCCAAAAUGCUGCACUGAAAGAGAACCAUACCAUCCAGAAUUCAUAUGGAAGCAAGACUCACAACUCAUCCAUCUCAUGAUGUCCAGUUCUCUUCAGACCAUAGUUAUGAACAGCCUCGGAAGACAACCAAAGUUUCUCUGUCAGGAGAUCAUCAGUGCCCGUACACCCAGGUGUGACCUCUACAUUAUGCUUCCUUUGUACAAUCUUAGUGACUUUACCAACCAACCAACCAGCUGCAUCCUUAUCCCUUGCCCUUGCAGCAGACGGUUGGCCAUCGAUCUCCAGAUCAGCUAAAGAUUGAUAAAGUUCAGGUGGCUUUGCCAGAUGCAUGGUAAAGGAUAGGACGAAGCGACAGAACCACUUCCAGGUGGAUUAAGCAAACUGUGGCUGCAGCUGGAACCAACACAGACGUGUACAAGGUCCACUCCACAAUUACAAGGACUACAGCUUUGUCAGCCGCUAGCAGUGAUAAUAUACCAGUGAAACUGAUUCUUGACCAAGCUGGAUGAUCAAGUGCAAAGGCUUUCCAAAAGUACUCUAAGAAACCAAGGGAAGCUCUAGGACAAAGUACAUCAACUAGGGUUUGUGUCAGCAGCGGUUGGACACCAAUGGAGACAGAGGAUGAAGCAGAUGGGUAGUUUAGAUAUUUUCCAUG